GAUUGUGUAGCUCAGUGGUAGAGCAGUUGGCUGUUAACCAUCAGGUCGAAGGUUCGAACCCUUCCACAAUCGCCA
rnacentral:tRNA from 1 species